rnacentral:rRNA from 1 species
AUGCGAACUGAGUUCUCCUUGUCCGAGCUCGACCACCUUAGUCCCCACCUGUUCGCCUGGCACUGGCUCCCUUCUAGUGGGAUUGCCGGUCACUCGGGUGGCAUCCUCUUAGGUGUCAAGGAUGCCACCUUUGAGGUAGGCAGCAUGGACCGGGGGGAGUUCUUUGUCAGCAUGGAGAUUUUAGAGAGGGCACUGAACUUCAAAUGGGAGAUCAUCAUAGUAUAUGGCCCUGCCGACCACCGUCGGUCCGCGGCAUUCCUUGAUGAGCUCAAAAAUAAGGUGUCUGCCGCCCGCCUUCCGGUCAUCAUGGGCGGUGACUUCAACCUCCUCCGAUUUGCUGAGGACAAAAAUAAAGACCGAGUAAACCUCUCGCGGAUGCAAAUGUUCAACGACUGCAUCGCUGACCUCGGUCUGCGGGAAUUAGAUAGGAUUGGUGCCAGAUUCACCUGGACCAAUCACCAGGCCGACCCGACCCGUUCCGUCCUGGACCGCAUCCUGGUCGCGCCUGAGUGGGAGUUGCGAUGUCCCCUUGCUACCCUUCGUGCCAUUACCCGUAUUGGCUCGAACCACGUUUCCUUGCUGCUCUCCUCUCAGGAUGAACGGCCUCCCGUCGCCCCCAGGUUCCGCUUCAAGACGUUCUGGCUCAACCAGGACGGCUUCUCGGAAGCCGUUCGUGCCCGUUGGCUGGAGGCCCGCAGCUCUCCCCACCGAUCCAUCUCUGCGGUGGAUAAUUGGCAUUUAUGCGCCAAGCGGUCUCGCCAAUUCAUGAAGGGCUGGGGUGCCAACUUAGGGCGGGAUCUCCAUGACCGCAAGCAGGCCCUUCUCACCUCUAUCCAGACACUUGACCUUCAGACUGACUCGAUCGGGCUAUCCGCUGAUGAGUGGAUGCAGCGAUACGACCUUGAGGAUCAGCUCACGGUCAUAUAUACGGACGAGGAGGCCUACUGGCGUCUUAGGGGAACCCAAAAGUGGGUUCUCAUGGGGGACGCUAACACCGCAUAG